rnacentral:rRNA from 1 species
CGGGUGAGUAACACGUGGGUGACCUGCCCUUAGCUCUGGGAUAAGCCUGGGAAACUGGGUCUAAUACCGGAUAUGACCUCAUGACGCAUGUUGUGGGGUGGAAAGCCUUGUGCGGCUAGGGAUGGGCCCGCGGCCUAUCAGCUUGUUGGUGGGGUGAUGGCCUACCAAGGCGACGACGGGUAGCCGGCCUGAGAGGGCGACCGGCCACACUGGGACUGAGACACGGCCCAG